UAUACUUUAAUAGCUUCAUGACACCGGGGCCUUGUUACUUAAUAGACUACAUAGCUCUGAGACAGCCAGCGUUGUGGGCUACAUGCGGGGAAGCUAGCUCCAGGGAUCACCUGCAGCAAAGACCAUUUUACCUUGAAAUGAAAGAACUUGGAUUACCUGGCAAGCAACACGUCAGCUUGUA